ACGUAGGGUGCGAGCGUUAAUCGGAAUUACUGGGCGUAAAGCGUGCGCAGGCGGUUAUUUAAGUCAGGUGUGAAAGCCCUGGGCUUAACCUAGGAAUUGCGCUUGAGACUGGAUAGCUUGGAGUGCGGCAGAGGGAGGUGGAAUUCCACGUGUAGCAGUGAAAUGCGUAGAGAUGUGGAGGAACACCGAUGGCGAAGGCAGCCUCCUGGGCCAGCACUGACGCUCAUGCACGAAAGCGUGGGGAGCAAACAGGA
rnacentral:rRNA from 1 species